GAUGAACGCUGGCGGCGUGCCUAAUACAUGCAAGUCGAGCGAACGGACGAGAAGUUUGCUUCUCUGAUGUUAGCGGCGGACGGGUGAGUCACACGUGGAUAACCUACCUAUAAGACUGGGAUAACUUCGGGAAACCGGAUCUAACACCGGAUAAUAUUUUGAACCGCAUGGUUCAAAAGUGAAAGACGGUCUUGCUGUCACUUAUAGAUGGAUCCGCGCUGCAUUAGCUAGUUGGUAAGGUAACGGCUUACCAAGGCGACGAUGCGUAGCCGACCUGAGAGGGUGAUCGGCCACACUGGAACGGAGACACGGACCAGACUCCUACGGGAGGCAGCAGUAGGGAAUCUGCCGCAAUGGGCGAAAGCCUGACGGAGCAACGGCGCGUGGGUGAUGAAGGUCUUCGGAUCGUAAAACUCUGUUAUGAGGGAAGAACAUAUGUGUAAGUAGCUGUGCACAGCUUGACGGUACCUAAUCAGAAAGCCACGGCUAACUACGUG
rnacentral:rRNA from 1 species